rnacentral:lncRNA from 1 species
UUAUAUUUUCCUCUGAUCCCCAAUUCUCUCUUCGGUUUCCAACCAAAAUUCAAUCAUAAUUGCUAGAGCUCUCUUUAGUUUAUCUCAAUCCAACUACUCUAGCAGGAUUUUCAACUAUUCACAGGCAUUGUCACACUCAGUCACAGCUUUGAGGUAAUCUAUGUUAGCACGCUUGAUAUUGUCAUCUUCUACGAGUGCUUUCAAGAAAACGUCGUAAAUGGAUUCUCUUGAUAGAUUAACUCUACAUAAUGUAAUAGCUAAUUGAUUUGCCAAUGUAGUCUCUAGUGAUUUAUGAG